rnacentral:lncRNA from 1 species
GCCCUCCGCGCCUGGAGCCAGCCGCCGCCCCGAGUGCCCGGGUGGUUAACACCUGGGUGCCUGGCCCCCCUCCUUGCGCCGGUCUCUGACCGGUCCGGGUGCCUGGACCCCUUUACCCCGGGUGCCCGGACCCCUCCGAGAGUGUGUGCGUUUUCAGGGUCAUUUUGGACCUUUGUAUCCCCCUCUCCCUCUAUUUCGUCCCUAAACUAUAAGUACCUCCCACCUAGCUCAUUUAGAGGAUAGAAAAGUAUAUGACAUGAUUUAGUGAGCUUUGCUCCUUGUAUCUCCUCUUGUGAGAGAGAGACCACUCCAUUGGAGUUCAAGGCCUCCUAUGGAGAAGAUCCCCUAGUGGAUUCAAGCCCCCAUCUAGGGAAAGAUCCCCAUCAUAGGAUCAUCCAGACCUCUCUCCUCAUAGGAUUGGGAUGAACUAGUACCGUGUAUCUUUCCUUUGUUGUUCUUGAAUCAUUGUAUAUUUCCUUUGUUGUUCUUGAAUCAUUGUGAACUCUGGUAUGUUCUUGGAUCUAACAUAUGUGUGAUUGGAUCUAGUCAAUUUGAGUGUUUACCCUCUCUUGUGUUCUUCGUGUUCUUGGGGAUUUCCCCUCCAAUUCGUGAAAGAUCUCCAUCUAGGGUUCACCCUACAACAUCUUGGUAUCAUGAGCCACGUUUAUCACGAAUUUGGAGCCCCCCCCACCGUUUGCUAGCCUUGUUUUGUGUGAUUUCAUCCUAAUUUUGAAAAUUUCCCCACCAAAAAUAGCCUCAAUUUUUUUUUGUGAUUUGUUCGUUUGAUGAGAUUUUGUUGGAUUUGAUCCAUGGAUUUGCUUGGUUUCAAGUGGAUCUAGCCUUCCCCCAUCCAUCUCCACCUUUCCCUCCACGAAAUCCACCAAUUUCUUCCAUUUCUCCAUGAUUAUCCACCCAAAUCUGACACCCCCAGGCACCCGGACCCCCCGCGCAUCUCCGUUGACCACCCCGGGUGCCCGCACCCCGAGCCCCCGGGCACCUACACCUCGUGCUGUUUGCCCCGGACCACCCCGGGUGCCCGCACCUCUUGCCCCCGGGAACCCGGACCCCCGGGCCUCUUCUCCAGCCCAACCUCGCUGACCACCCUGGGUGCUCGCACCCCCAAACCCCGGGCACCCGCACCCCCCAGAAUCAGCCGCGUGCACUUUACGUUUUCACUCAUAACUUUCACUCCCGAACUCCGAUUUGGGUGUUCUUUGGCUCGUUGAAAAGCUAGCGACGUGCCUGAGCUUCUCAUCUUGGUUUUACCACCAUUUGACUCCAUCAAAAUUUUGGCAUUUUGGCUUCUUUGCAUAGGCCAUCCACCAUAUCAUCCGCCAAACCACCAUAGCUUUCGACAACCUUACCCAAUUUUUGCUCCUUAUAGCAUUUGUGGUUGCUUGAGUGGUGACUUGAGUCUCCUAAGGUGUUUCGGCUACUUAGGGACGGUCGCUUCAUCAUCAACCACCAUCACCACUUCCGCAUUGCUAACUCCGGAACCACCAAGGCAUUCCGCUACCACCAUUUGACAUUUGCCUUUGGAGAUUUUGAGUUUGCGGUUUUUACCGUUUCCUAAGGUGUUUCGGCUACUUAGGGACGGGUCUAUAUGAUCUUGGUAUCUACAUCAAGAACACCGCCACUCAUCAUCGCCACGAGGUCGUCUUCGACAUCGACCACUUCACCAUUUUGACACCCUAACCGUAAGCAAGAACGGUAACCUCUAUAUCACCUUGGUAUCGUGGUAUCCCAUCAUUGUAUAUUCUUGCCAUUACAUUGUUAACCCAUUAGCCCAUUUUGCGUCAGUUGCCUAUCGAGACUAGCCAUUGAGUAUUGCCGGCAACGUUACUUGUGCACAUUAGUGAUCCGUACCUUCCAUUGCAUACAUGCCAUAUCAUAUUGGUAUCAUCAUAUCAUCACUUGUGUCACAAGAUUGUUCCCGCAUAUACAAAAUUGCUAUCUUGGUUUGUGCAUGUCGCAUAGUGCCCAUAUCAAAAAAAGAGAGAAUAGGCUUUUAAGCAAAAAGGAAAACAGAGCAAAGAGCUUGUAAGCAAGAGCCAUAGCAUCGCCACAUUGCAUACCAUACUACCAUAUUGAUCAUCUUGGAUCAUUGUGUGCGAAACACCGGGAACAUCAUACACAUAGCAUACUUGGGAUAGAAAGUUGAUACAUUUUGCAUCUUCUAGGUUGUACACAAGUGUCGUAUCCGCCUAUUGAGAAAUCGUGCUAGCGUCUCUCUUGAGUUGUGCAACACGAGCGUUUUCCGUGGAUUCCACAUUUUGUGCUCAUUCCUUGGUUGCACGAACCCAUUUAUCUAUCCAUGUGUGUGUUUCCGUGUGCCACAUAUUGCUAUUGGUCUACUUGUUUCACUUGCGAAUUUGUGAAUCUUUUCCAACAUUAUUGACUCUUGCUAACAUUUUGCAUCAAAUUUUUGUGCCACUAUCCUCACCGAGCUCCACCAUAAGCCUUACGUGUGUAGGUGUGAGAAUUGACAAGAUCCGGUACCAAUUGUGCUAUUUCCUUGUUACAUUAUUGAGUGAUCAUUGAUCCAUCUUCAACAUUGGAUAAGGUACAUUGGUCUAGUUCUUUCCUUUCUUCCACUUACAUUUGCUCGAGUCUUGUGAUGGAUAGGCAAGGCAUUUCAUCUCUGGUCUUCCACGACAACGACAACGCAAACAACUACAUCACCAAAACAUCCAUCUUCGGACUACAACGAGCAAUGCAAGGCAUUGAGCGACUCGCCAUCGACAUUCGCCAAAACGAAGCAAGGAUAAGGGACUACCUCGACACCAAGUUGGCCGAACAAAGGGAUCAAGUACGAGACAUGGUGGACAACUACAAGUCUUCUUCCCCUUCGUCAUCUUCAAGGCGGCGACGCUCAAAUGGCCAAUCUUCGGAACGUCAUCGAGCUCAAGCACUAUAACACCAUCAAGAUGAAGAUGCUCGCGAUGCGUACACCUACAAGUCCCAAAAAGUUCUACAUCAAGCUACGGCCAAACUUCAUGAGCACAAGAGAAGACCGCGAGACAAGCACCACCAAGACGGAGCUACGACUACUACGACCACUUCGGCAUCUUCACCAAGUGUCAUCAAGGCAUCUUCGCCUUUGGACGUAUGGCAUCUUCGCCUACCUCCGACGAGUAUGCCUACAUCGGCCUUCCGCCACGGCGACGGUGACGAGAUGAUCGAGCAUGGGAUUUUCCCUUCGGUCAUGGAGGAGAGCGACGAUGUGCCAUCUUCGGCCUUCAUCCACGGCGACGACAAUGAGAUGGUUGAGCAUGGGAUUUUCCCUUCGACCACGGCGAUGUAUGAUGACUUGAGUGACUUGUGCCACCAUAUGGAGAGUGAGUGUGACUUCACCACUAGCCCCAUAUAUGAUGAGUUGCCACAAUUCCCAUGUGAGGAGAGCCACAACCCCCACCCACUUGAGUGAGAUGAGUGACUCCACCAUAUGUGACAUUGAGUGCACCUAUCUUGAGGGCGUGAGUGAGCCACCACCACAUAGAGAGAGUGAGGAAGUUGAUAGGGCUCGUGAGGCCAUUUGCAUUUCUAACAACUUGACCUCUACCUCUGUUGUGUCUUCUCAUUUGGUGCUAGGUCCCAUAUAUGAUGAUGCGCCGAUCCGCGACGACUUCGUCCUUCCUAUGGACAAGACGAUGGCCAUGGUGGAAUAUGAUGCACCCCCCACAUGGUUCCAUCAAGAUGAAGAUGAUGACCACCAUUUGGUAUUUUCCACCUCAACUACACCACUUGAGUGGAAUGAACAAGAUAAUAUAGGUGAAGGUGAUGCUCUAGUCCCACUAGUGGACAUUCUAAACAUUGAUUGCUUGCAUGAUGUUGAUCCACCUAUUACCAUGCUUCAUGCUAGUUCGACUUCCCCAUGUGACGAUUUAUUGCCCAUUUAUGAUGAGUUUGAUGAUUGCCAUGUGGAGUCUAUUAGUUGUGAUGCCAUGUUACGUAGGAUUUCUUGUGAUAAUUCUCUUGGUCACAUCAUGUUUGAAAAUCCGUUGACUUGUCAUAUGCUAUGCAUGCGAUCAACAAUAUGUCAUAUUUGCAAUCUCUUCAUAGUGACUAUGCAUAUGCCAUUAAAAUUAACCCAAUUUGCACAUAUGGCAUAGAUGACAAGCCCAUGGUUAUUGGCAUUUGUUUUUCAUGCGAUGAUAUUGCCAUGCUUCCUUUACAUGAUUUGCGCAAUUCAUCUACUAUGCCAUGCCAUGAUCAGAUUGUUCCAAAUAUGCAUUGUUUUGGAUGCUGUCAAUAUUCUCCAUGUGAUGUUUCCAUUAAUGCUCAUGAGGAGACCCCCAUAAUUUCCUCAUACAUUUUAGGAGAUUUUGAUUCAUCCUAUCCAUUGCAUGAUCCCACUACUUGUGUGCACAAUAUGCUCCCCAUGAAUAAACAUGCUAGUGAUGUGCCAUAUACUUGCAUUCUCAAUUUGUGUCCCCAUAGUGUUAUACACAAUAAUUAUUCUUUCAUGAUGGAUGACAUGUUCUUAUACCAUGCAUCAAAUUUUUUUGAGCGAUGAUUAUCUUGUGCUAACUCACACAUGCACAUACACAUCGUGAUGGAUGAUGUGUACAUUUACCACGAACACAAUUUCUUUGGUUUGUGUCUCUUUUGCGUAGGUACACAUGAAUACUUGUCAACCUCAAAUUCCCACGAGUUGACAAAACGAGCUCUAGAGAGCAAUGAUGACUUGGGAUCCCAUGGAUUUCCUUUCCCACCGCUCUCUUCGCGCAAAGACUUCGCGCAUUUCUUCUACUUGGCACUCACUUGGCUAUGGUUUAUUGUCCAUUACAUAUUAUAUGCCCAUAUUGCCAUGUUCACUUUGCAUGAUAUGCUCAUUCCUAUGCCUUUGCCAUGCAUUUGUGACCCAUGCUUUGCAUUACACAUGAUGAUUGAUUCUACUACUUGUAUGUGUAUUUGCAAGCUUGGUGGAGAUAUUGCUUAUUCUUGGCAUGUUUCCUUUGUGAUCCAUUCCUAUGAUGAUAUAUUGCUUUGUAAUCGUGCUUGUGAUAUGCCAUGUGCAUUGCCUAUGUCUAUUAUUUGCUCACAUGACAUGAUUGCCAUGAUUUCCUCUAGUGUGUUGCAUCUUCGCUCCACUAGUUUGCACGACGUGAUUUCUAUGCUUUCUCAUGUUGCAUCCAAUUCUUGGAUUACUUGCUCCUAUCAUACGUUUGGUUGCAACAAUGUCAUUACUUCACAUAUGCCAUGUACCAUUGCUUGUCACAUGAUUGAUUUGAUUGCCUCACACAUGAUGAACAAUUGCUCUUUCUAUUGUGUUGAGUGCCACAUGAUUUUCACUACACCAUAUGCACUUUAUGCUUGGAUUGUCUUGCACUUACUCCAUGUGUUUAGACAUCUUCUCUUAUUUGGUGUUGUGAAUGACUCUUAUGCCUACCAUAGACCGUUCAUCGAGAGUCUUAUGCAUGCUUUCUAUGAGCUUGAGGUAGAUGCUUAUUCUCUUGACACACAUAUUUGCAUCGCUACCUCCCAUUUACAUGCUUGUUUCCAUGAUGUCCUUGACUUCGCUCAAUUUAUGUGCUUGCAUGACAUGUCACAAUCCAUUGUCACACCAUAUGCUAUGCUUGAUGACGACACUUGUUUGGUGAAUCACCUCUUGAAUGCUUGGUGUUGCACUAAGACUAACCACAUUCAUUUUUCCAAGUGUUUGUUGUUCUUGCUCCUUUUGAAGGAAUCACAAGACGGUGCGACAUUGGAGAGUGCCCAUUUCGAGCUUGGAGAUGAUGAGUCCUUGGUGACGCACUCUCUUUCUCAUGGUGAUGAUGAUCACGAUCCAUGGACGGAUCUCUCCCAAGGGGGGGGGCAUGAUGCGGAGCAUCCCUCGACCAUCACCAUGGACGUCACACCACCACCGCAAGGACGGAGAAGACCGAUGACAAGAGCACACGCACGUGCCACCGUAACCGAGGUUGACUCCUUCCUCUUCAAACUUCAUUCGGUUUCAUAUGAGAGUCGGGUCCUACCUCAAAUGGAAACGUUGUGCAUUCUUAGGUACUUCGGAGAGGACCGCGAGGAAGCAUGGAGGGAUCACCAAGUCCACCCGAAGAUUCAAGCACGCAUGAAGUCUCUCGGGAAGAAGAUGGAAGAAGGAAACAUGAGAAGGAGGACGCGGAGGCCCUGGACACCCCGGGUGCCCGGACACUUCGGCCCCGGGUGCCCGGCCCCUCCCUGGGAGGUGCCCGGCCCGCCGCUGGAGGCCGCUCGGCCCAGUCCGGGUGCUCGGGCCACCAACCCCGGGUGCCCGGCCCCCAUGAGCCGCCCGCCUGGCCGCCCCGGGUGCCCGGCCCUCCGCGCCUGGAGCCAGCCGCCGCCCCGGGUGCCCGGGUGGUUAACACUUGGGUGCCCGGCCCCCCCUCCUUGCGCCGGCUUCUGACCGGUCCGGGUGCCCGGACCCCUUUACCCCGGGUGCCCGGACCCCUCCGAGAGUGUGUGCGUUUUCAGGGUCAUUUUGGACCUUUGUAUCCCCCUCUCCCUCUAUUUCGUCCCUAGACUAUAAGUACCUCCCACCUAGCUCAUUUAGAGGAUAGAAAAGUAUAUGACAUGAUUUGGUGAGCUUUGCUCCUUGUAUCUCCUCUUGUGAGAGAGAGACCACUCCAUUGGAGUUCAGGACCUCCUAUGGAGUAGAUCGCCUAGUGGAUUCAAGCCCCCAUCUAGGGAAAGAUCCCCAUCAUAGGAUCAUCAAGACCUCUCUCCUCAUAGGAUUGGGAUGAACUAGUACCGUGUAUCUUUCCUUUGUUGUUCUUGAAUCAUUG